rnacentral:lncRNA from 1 species
AAUGAAUUUUAAUGCCCAAUUACUUUCAUAUUUGAAAAAUCCUCUGGGCCACAAUGCAGAAUCUACUUCCCUUCCGAAACACCUGCGAUCAUCCCAGGUUUUAUUGAGUUUCGUGUUUCUACGUUUUUAGUUGUUUAUGUUGUGUUAUGUAGACUUCUGGGGUUUUUUUUACACCUCCUUGCAAAAGUACAGAUGCAUACUGUACAUGGAGGAAUUUGUGUACAGUUAAAAAUAAAAAGUGACAAUAUAUUUUUGCAGAUGCAAAGUUAUGAGAGUAAAUCAAAGCUGCACACAUUUUAAGAGAAUCGUGUAACAGUCAUGUAUACUCGUGUAUGGCCGAGUAGAGAUCGAAGAGUGGUUGAAUAUUGUCGCAAUGAGAUCGGGUAUUGGUCGAGUUGGUCUGGAAUGAAAAACAUAUCGAAGUCGCAGUGAAUAUGAAGCGAUCAGACAUUGGUCGAGUUAAUCUUGACCAAAUAUCGUACAGGUUGUCGUUGAUCGGGAAAUGAUUGGAUAUGAGUCGAACAAAGAUCGAAAUGAUCGAGUACUGAUCCUCAGAUAAUUUUAUAAUUCCAAAACCAAAUACAGAGUUGUAAAAGUCUAGUUUCUCGUACACUGGACCAAAAG